GGGGAUAUAGCUCAGUUGGUAGAGUGCUUUUCUGGCAUGUAGGAGACCCUGGGUUCAAUCCCCAUCACCA
rnacentral:tRNA from 1 species